rnacentral:rRNA from 1 species
UGCAGUCGAGCGGACAGAAGGGAGCUUGCUCCCGGAUGUUAGCGGCGGACGGGUGAGUAACACGUGGGUAACCUGCCUGUAAGACUGGGAUAACUCCGGGAAACCGGAGCUAAUACCGGAUAGUUCCUUGAACCGCAUGGUUCAAGGAUGAAAGACGGUUUCGGCUGUCACUUACAGAUGGACCCGCGGCGCAUUAGCUAGUUGGUGGGGUAAUGGCUCACCAAGGCGACGAUGCGUAGCCGACCUGAGAGGGUGAUCGGCCACACUGGGACUGAGACACGGCCCAGACUCCUACGGGAGGCAGCAGUAGGGAAUCUUCCGCAAUGGACGAAAGUCUGACGGAGCAACGCCGCGUGAGUGAUGAAGGUUUUCGGAUCGUAAAGCUCUGUUGUUAGGGAAGAACAAGUGCGAGAGUAACUGCUCGCACCUUGACGGUACCUAACCAGAAAGCCACGGCUAACUACGUGCCAGCAGCCGCGGUAAUACGUAGGUGGCAAGCGUUGUCCGGAAUUAUUGGGCGUAAAGGGCUCGCAGGCGGUUUCUUAAGUCUGAUGUGAAAGCCCCCGGCUCAACCGGGGAGGGUCAUUGGAAACUGGGAAACUUGAGUGCAGAAGAGGAGAGUGGAAUUCCACGUGUAGCGGUGAAAUGCGUAGAGAUGUGGAGGAACACCAGUGGCGAAGGCGACUCUCUGGUCUGUAACUGACGCUGAGGAGCGAAAGCGUGGGGAGCGAACAGGAUUAGAUACCCUGGUAGUCCACGCCGUAAACGAUGAGUGCUAAGUGUUAGGGGGUUUCCGCCCCUUAGUGCUGCAGCUAACGCAUUAAGCACUCCGCCUGGGGAGUACGGUCGCAAGACUGAAACUCAAAAGGAAUUGACGGGGGGCCCGCACAA